rnacentral:rRNA from 1 species
GCGGACGGGUGAGUAAUGCUUAGGAAUCUGCCUAUUAGUGGGGGACAACAUUCCGAAAGGGAUGCUAAUACCGCAUACGUCCUACGGGAGAAAGCAGGGGAUCUUCGGACCUUGCGCUAAUAGAUGAGCCUAAGUCGGAUUAGCUAGUUGGUGGGGUAAAGGCCUACCAAGGCGACGAUCUGUAGCGGGUCUGAGAGGAUGAUCCGCCACACUGGGACUGAGACACGGCCCAGACUCCUACGGGAGGCAGCAGUGGGGAAUAUUGGACAAUGGGGGGAACCCUGAUCCAGCCAUGCCGCGUGUGUGAAGAAGGCCUUAUGGUUGUAAAGCACUUUAAGCGAGGAGGAGGCUACUGAGACUAAUACUCUUGGAUAGUGGACGUUACUCGCAGAAUAAGCACCGGCUAACUCUGUGCCAGCAGCC